UCCCAAAUGCAUGUUUGGGUUAAGCAUGAGACUCUCCAUCUCAGGGUCAUGGGUUCGAGCCCCACUUUGGGCA